rnacentral:rRNA from 1 species
CUGGCGGCGUGGAUAAGUACAUGCAAGUUCGAAACGAGAGAAUUUGCUAGCUUUGCUAAUAAUUUCUCUAGUUGGCGCACGGGUGAGUAACACGUGAGUAACCUGCCCCCGAGAGCGGGAUAGCCCUGGGAAACUGGGAUUAAUACCGCAUAGUAUCGAAAGAUUAAAGCAGCAAUGCGCCUUGGGGAUGGGCUCGCGGCCUAUUAGUUAGUUGGUGAGGUAACGGCUCACCAAGGCGAUGACGGGUAGCCGGUCUGAGAGGAUGUCCGGCCACACUGGAACUGAGACACGGUCCAGACACCUACGGGUGGCAGCAGUCGAGAAUCAUUCACAAUGGGGGAAACCCUGAUGGUGUGACGCCGCGUGGGGGAAUGAAGGUCUUCGGAUUGUAAACCCCUGUCAUGUGGGAGCAAAUUAAAAAGAUAGUACCACAAGAGGAAGAGACGGCUAACUCUGUGCCAGCAGCCGCGGUAAUACAGAGGUCUCAAGCGUUGUUCGGAAUCACUGGGCGUAAAGCGUGCGUAGGCUGUUUCGUAAGUCGUGUGUGAAAGGCGCGGGCUCAACCCGCGGACGGCACAUGAUACUGCGAGACUAGAGUAAUGGAGGGGGAACCGGAAUUCUCGGUGUAGCAGUGAAAUGCGUAGAUAUCGAGAGGAACACUCGUGGCGAAGGCGGGUUCCUGGACAUUAACUGACGCUGAGGCACGAAGGCCGGGGGAGCGAAAGGGAUUAGAUACCCCUGUAGUCCUGGCAGUAAACGGUGCACGCUUGGUGUGCGGGGAAUCGACCCCCUGCGUGCCGGAGCUAACGCGUUAAGCGUGCCGCCUGGGGAGUACGGUCGCAAGAUUAAAACUCAAAGAAAUUGACGGGGACCCGCACAAGCGGUGGAGUAUGUGGCUUAAUUCGAUGCAACGCGAAGAACCUUACCUGGGCUUGACAUGUAAUGAACAACAUGUGAAAGCAUGCGACUCUUCGGAGGCGUUACACAGGUGCUGCAUGGCCGUCGUCAGCUCGUGUCGUGAGAUGUUUGGUUAAGUCCAGCAACGAGCGCAACCCCUGUUGCCAGUUACCAGCACGUGAAGGUGGGGACUCUGGCGAGACUGCCCAGAUCAACUGGGAGGAAGGUGGGGACGACGUCAGGUCAGUAUGGCCCUUAUGCCCAGGGCUGCACACGUACUACAAUGCCCAGUACAGAGGGGGCCGAAGCCGCGAGGCGGAGGAAAUCCUGAAAACUGGGCCCAGUUCGGACUGUAGGCUGCAACCCGCCUACACGAAGCCGGAAUCGCUAGUAAUGGCGCAUCAGCUACGGCGCCGUGAAUACGUUCCCGGGUCU